UAGCAUCCACUGAUAGGCCUGUUGCUAAUCUGUGGCCUCUGGGUUUGCACAAGGAUGCGACAGUAAUGCUCCUCGUGUCUUCUAGCCAUCUGAAAGGUGUCUGGAAUGGACUCUGUUGAGGAGAAUAGAA